rnacentral:lncRNA from 1 species
ACCCUAGCCCCAGAAGAUCAGAUUCAGUUGAUCUGGAUGAGCCUAGGGCUCUACAUUUGCCACAAUCUCCGCAGUGAUCCUGAGGGAGGAGAAACCCCAGGGAAAAUAUGGCUAAUGAGGAUGAAAAAACAGACAAGAGGUGGAACUUCAAUGAAGAGGAAAACUCUUCCUAGCCUUGGUCGAGAGCGAGCACACUAAAACUCUGCCCUGAAAGAGGAAUUGACUCUUGAGCAGAACACAGAAACUGAUAUGGGUGAUGGACCCAACCAAAAGAGAAAGCCCCGAACUCCUGCUCAUCAGAUGGGUGAAGCAGAUGUUCCUGUCUUUCUCAAAGUCUG